rnacentral:tRNA from 1 species
GGACGAUUAGCUCAGUUGGUAGAGCGCCUGCCUUACAAGCAGGAUGUCACUGGUUCGAGCCCAGUAUCGUCCA